UGUGACAGAACAAUCUUCGUAUUCCAAGGGAAGGCCUCUACCUAAGGAUGACUCUUGGUCUAACUGUGCCAAAAACUGUUUUGUGUAGUGGGAAGUCUAAGAAUGAGUCUUGGUCUAAAAUUUUUAGUUUGUUUCUGCAGGGAUUGUUGAGAUGGAAGGGGGUGAAUAAAGAUGGUGGGAUGAAUUACCACUAGACUUUCUUGGGCUAAUCUUUAAGAAACUAUCUCUGCAGAUUGGGCAAGAAUGUGCUUCAGUGUCGUGUAAAGAAACACAUUAGAUAAUGUCAUCCUUCCAUGAAGGGAACCCAGUAGUGAGGUGCUUGAUGUGUUCUCAAGUUGUUCAUCAUCCAACAAGAAUGUACAGUUAUCUUAUUCGACUUUGAUUCUCAAUUAUGCUGUUAUGAUUGAAAAGAAAUAUCAAGAAGGCCAAUCUCGAGUUCUUUCAGUAGCUAUUGAAGUGUGUCCUUUUCUGUAACAAAUAGAUUCUUUUAAUGAAUCACGUCAAGUAUCACUAUAACAUAUUGUAUCUUAAAUGAAUUAAAAUGAACUCGUUUAUAUGA